GAACAGUAUGUAGGAUUGUGGCCAAAACUGGUUUUGCAAUCACAAAACUUGUGGCUAAAACUGGUACUGCAAUCACACAACAGGGGCCUGUUGCACAAAAGUAGAAUUAAGACAUCCUGGCUAAAUGACUGAGCUGAGCUCAAUGAAGCCAAAACAAGUGCGUCCACGCUUAAUUGGUUGCACAAAGACCAAGCCAGGAUGAUCAGACACGGAUUCAUCAAGCCAGGUGAAACCAAUCCUGGAUAGGUGCGCGCUCACGGCUCACUCAACUAGACCCCGCCACCGAUCACAGAUUCACCGAUUCACCAUGGCAACUAGCGGCGUUCUUUUCCCCGUCAGAGGCACAAAUCCAUACGAGGAGGUAAAAGACAUAAUUAAGAAGAAAGGCAACACCGCCACAGUGGUAAAGCAGAGAGAAAAAGCGUGGCAAAGUAUUGCAGACCGCCUGAAUGCAUUAAAUAUGACCGGGCCAAAACGGACAUGGCAGCAGGUCAAAAUCAAAAUCUGCAGAAUGCAGUGAAAAAGAAUACCCACAGACAAGGCACGGGUGGUGGGUCACCAAAAGCUGACCUCAUCCCAGCAGAGGCCAGCUUUGGAGUUAAAUAAAGGCAGGCCUGUUGGAGGGAAUCCCUGCGGGAAAAGAGACAAGCAUAGGUCCCUCACAAGAUGCCACCCGCUUCAUACAAGUGUCUGGCAGCACUGUGUUACUGUUAAAGCCACCAGCACGAGCACCUGACGAUGCUGAUCCAGUGAGUACUCCAUCAAAGGCAUACUGUAGGCCUGGCAUGUCUUGUCUACUAGCUUCAAUAUGAAUCCGAUUAAAUGUGAUGGGGUCAAGGCCCCAUUUCAUCAGCACAUAACGGCGAUGAUGAUGAGGAGACCAUCUCGCUGGAUUCCAAAAGGCAUAAGGACCCAGAGUCAUUGGUGCACUGGACUGCACAAACAUAAGGAUAAAAUCCCCCUCAGGUGCCCAUGAGGCAGAUUUUGUAAAUAUGAAAUCUUUUUACAGCAUUAAUGUUCAGGUGAACAUAACUUUUUGAUCUUUUCCAUUGAACACUGGCAAAAUGGCCUGGCUCAGUCCAUGACUCCAGAAUCUUUCGAACCUCUGAAAUCUAUCAGCGCCUAUCACAAGGUGAAUUCUCGGGUGUGUUGCUGAGAGACAGGGGGUAUGGCUGCCAGCCGUUUUUCCUGACACCUUUUACAGACCCCCAGGAAGCACAGCCGGCCUACAACUAUGCCCAUGUUAGGGUCAGAGUUGAAAUGACCUUUG